rfam:Schistosoma haematobium scaffold810_5, whole genome shotgun sequence.
AGCCUUAUGUAUUCGUGCUGAGAUGUCGUCACACACUAGAACACAAGGGCAGAUAAGACUCCCAAGGUAAGUGAAGCA